GUGGCAGCCGCCGCGGUAAUACGGAGGGUGCAAGCGUUAUCCGGAUUCAUUGGGUUUAAAGGGUGCGCAGGCGGAUACUUAAGUCAGUGGUGAAAUCCCGGGGCUCAACCCCGGAACUGCCAUUGAUACUGAAUAUCUGGAAUACGGUUGAAGUGGGCGGAAUGUAGCAUGUAGCGGUGAAAUGCAUAGAGAUGCUACAGAACACCGAUCGCGAAGGCAGCUCACUAAGCCGAUAUUGACGCUCAGGCACGAAAGCGUGGGGAGCGAACAGGAUUAGAUACCCUGGUAGUCCACGCCGUAAACGAUGAUAACUCGUUGUUGGCGACACACAGUCAGCGACUAAGCGAAAGCGAUAAGUUAUCCACCUGGGGAUACGAUCGCAAGGUUGAAACUCAAAGGAAUUGACGG
rnacentral:rRNA from 1 species